GACGAACGCUGGCGGCGGGCUUAACACAUGCAAGUCGAACGGAAAGGCCCUGCUUUCGUGGGGUGCUCGAGUGGCGAACGUGUGAGAAACACGUGAGUAACCUGCGCUGGACUUUGGGAUAACUGCAGGAAAGUGGGGCUAAUACCGGAUAGGAGCGGCAGCUGGAUGGUGGGGGUCGGAAAGUUUCGGCGGAUGUGGAUGGAUUCGCGGCUUAUCAGCUUGUUGGUGGGGUAGUUGCUUACCAAGGCUUUGACGGGUAGCCGGCCUGAGAGGGUGAACGGCGACAUUGGGACUGAGAUACGGCCCCGACUCCUACGGGAGGCAGCAGUGGGGAAUAUUGCACAAUGGGCGGCAGCCUGAUGCAGCAACGCCGCGUGCGGGAUGACGGCCUUCGGGUUGUAAAACGCUUUCGCCUGUGACGCAGCGUGAGUGACGGUAAUCGGUAAAGAAGCACCGGCUAACUACGUG
rnacentral:rRNA from 1 species